rnacentral:rRNA from 1 species
UGGGGGGUAGAGCACUGCAUGGAUGAUGGGGGCCCACAGCCUUACUGAGUCUAAGCAAACUCCGAAUACCCAGGAGGACUAUCCGGGAGACACACGGCGGGUGCUAACGUCCGUCGUGGAGAGGGAAACAACCCUGACCAACAGCUAAGGCCCCCAAUUCGUGGCUAAGUGGGAAAGCAUGUGAGACUUCCAAAACAACCAGGAGGUUGGCUUAGAAGCAGCCAUCCUUUAAAGAUAGCGUAACAGCUCACUGGUCUAAUCAAGAGGUCUUGCGGCGAAGAUGUAACGGGGCUCAAGCCACGAGCCGAAGCUUUGGAUGCGCAUUUAUGCACGUGGUAGCGGAGCGUUCUGUGAUAUAGAACGCUGCCUCUUUUGCCUGUUCGCAAGUAACGGAGGCAAUGUUCUGACUGUGAAGCCGGGCCGUGAGGCAACCGGUGGAGUGAUCAGAAGUGAGAAUGUUGACAUGAGUAGCGACAAACAGGGUGAGAGACCCUGUCGCCGAAAGUCCAAGGGUUCCUGCUUAAAGCUAAUCUGAGCAGGGUAAGCCGGCCCCUAAGGCGAGGCCGAAAGGCGUAGUCGAUGGGAACCAGGUUAAUAUUCCUGGGCCAGGAGAUGGUGACGGAUCCCGAGGGUAGUUCGAUCUUAACGGAUUGAUCGGGCUGCUUAGGGGUCCCUGGAAAUAGCCCUCCACAAGACCGUACCCUAAACCGACACAGGUGGACUGGUAGAGAAUACCAAGGCGCUUGAGAGAACCACAUUUAAGGAACUCGGCAAAAUACCUCCGUAAGUUCGCGAGAAGGAGGCCCGGUUUUUGCGCAAGCAGAGGCCGGGGGCACAAACCAGGGGGUGGCGACUGUUUACUAAAAACACAGGGCUCUGCGAAGUCGUAAGACGACGUAUAGGGUCUGACGCCUGCCCGGUGCCGGAAGGUUAAAAGGAGAGGUGCAAGCCUUGAAUUGAAGCCCCGGUAAACGGCGGCCGUAACUAUAACGGUCCUAAGGUAGCGAAAUUCCUUGUCGGGUAAGUUCCGACCUGCACGAAUGGCGUAACGACUUCCCCGCUGUCUCAAAUGUGGACUCAGCGAAAUUGAAUUGUCUGUGAAGAUGCAGACUUCCCGCGGUUAGACGGAAAGACCCCAUGCACCUUUACUACAACUUCGCACUGGCAUCAGGAUUGCGAUGUGCAGGAUAGGCGGUAGGCUUUGAAGCGGGGACGCUAGUCCUCGUGGAGCCAUCCUUGAGAUACCGCCCUUCGCACUCUUGAUGUCUAACCGCGGCCCGUUAUCCGGGUCCGGGACCCUGCGUGGUGGGUAGUUUGACUGGGGCGGUCGCCUCCCAAACAGUAACGGAGGCGCGCGAAGGUUGGCUCAGACCGGUCGGAAAUCGGUCGUUGAGUGCAAUGGCAGAAGCCAGCCUGACUGCAAGACUGACAAGUCGAGCAGAGACGAAAGUCGGCCAUAGUGAUCCGGUGGUCCCGAGUGGAAGGGCCAUCGCUCAACGGAUAAAAGGUACGCUGGGGAUAACAGGCUGAUGAUGCCCAAGAGUCCAUAUCGACGGCAUCGUUUGGCACCUCGAUGUCGGCUCAUCUCAUCCUGGGGCUGGAGCAGGUCCCAAGGGUAUGGCUGUUCGCCAUUUAAAGAGGUACGUGAGCUGGGUU